UGCUUAAAACGGAAUAUUACAAAUGCUGGAGCUCGCAAUAAGUGCAAGAGGUCUUCUGAUUUUCCUGUAGAAAAUACAUUCACUAGAUACUCUGGCAAGUUGCUCUCCACUAUUAUUGGUGGCUUGUCUCCUAGCCAACGGGUUUACACAGUAAUUUACAAAGUAGUUUACACAGUAAUUUUAGCACUUCUUACUGUUGUCUUUUUAGUGGAUUUACAAUGUCAGUUUAGUGGAUUUUACGGUGUCUUUUCAAUUCCAAUCUUACACUGUUGGAAAAGUGCAUGUGUGGACCCGUUAGUCUACAUAAAAGGACAAACAAAGGACAAGGGACUAUCUAUCUAUUCGCUCCAGGUUGGAAAAAUGGAUGUGUGGAACUGUUAG
rnacentral:rRNA from 1 species